rnacentral:piRNA from 1 species
UGAUAAGAUGUCGCAUUAAAAAAUAG